UUUCCACACCCUGUACCUUCUGAAAAUAGGUGGUGUUUCAUGCUCAUAUUACAGUAUCUAAUGGCAAAGCAAACUCGUAUAAAACAGCCACAAUGACAUAAUUAUGAAUGUGCUUGAUGUACCUCAGACCUCAGAGCCCAGCUCACAUUUAGGUAUCUGCUGUCUCCAAGGUGUUCUGGAAGGGACCAGUUGUAAACAGUCUGGUUGGAAGGCAACAAUAGUCAUGGUUUCCCUGAACAAGAUCUCCAACAAGAACUUACAAACAUGCUGUGGUGGUCUGUGCUGGAGGGACAGCAUUGAUGUGAACAAGUAGCACCUCUAGCAAAGCAGAGGUGCUUUGCUGCACCUCUUUUCUUCCUAAGAAUCAUUAAAAAACAUGGGUAGCUCCAAAACCAUCCCUGCCAGGUGUUUCUGCUUUGGCUACAGAAGAUCUAGGAUCAGACCCACACAGGAGGAAGCACAGCAUUUUCCCUGCACUCUUGGAAACCCCUCAAGAAUUUUGAUGCUGACAUAGCCAACAUCCUUACAGCUUUUCCAUAGAUUCCCAUGAGUCUCACAGAGAUCCUUCAGUCAAAAUUCUGCUUACAGACAGCAGGCAUAUCAGAUGGAUUCAUACUGUGGAACAUGAGCUGCUCAUUCACCUCCUGCCCAGGCUUCUCUUUUCUAUGUGCUCUUUCUACCUACAUGAAAACACUGUGCUUGAGAUAUAUUUUAAAGAAACUUUGCUAGUACCACAGAAUGCAGAAAUACAUGAUUGUCUUGAUGUGGAAGAAGAGAAUUAAAAGAAUAUGCUAGAUGCUAGUCACACUUCAUCCAGGGAUAAAGAAAAUAGAUCACAGGUCAAAUAUUGCUCUCUCAUGCUCUUCUGCAGCCCUGAUAAGUCUAAAUAGCAAUAACACACAGUUUUGGUCUCCAGCCACAGUUUUUCUGACAAAAGACUGGUUAGGAAGCAGACCACAUUUUUUACAAAUGCAGUAUAUCUGUUCUCAGAGGAGAACUGAAGGGGUCACUAGUUUGGAUGUAUUGAAACAUUUUCAGUUCCUCUCUCUAUCAGAGGGGUAAAAUUAGUUUAACCAGUUAUACCUAUCACUGGCCUUUAAAUCAAAACUAGCUACUAAUUUCUCAUGCUCUGUUCAAUCAUGACCAAGUUAGACACAAGAAAAUGCGUAAAACUACACAUUACACCUAUAAAACAGAGAGCCAACCCAGCAGGGUUUUGACUAAAUGCUUUUCUGAACUCGUAGAAAAGGCUCAUGCCAACUGGAACCACUUCUUUUUUCUCAGGAACACUCAUUUUAGGUGCUGUUUUCUUCCUUGGAAAAUUUCAGAUCUGGACUGGCAUCUCUGGUUACUUCUCUUGAGCCCAAGUGAUCCUGUCCUGUUCUCUCUCAGUUUGUGAAAUGAUAGUGGUAGGUACCCAAAAGAGGCAGCUCUAGGUUCAGUUCAAGGAUAGAAUUAAAUGUAGUUCUUCCAUACCCUGGGGAAACAGUCCACUCACUCCUCUGGCUGUGGUUAAUCAACCUCUCAGAUUUCAUGGGGAAAAAAAAAAUUUAAAAUAAAAAAUUAAAAAAAAAAAAAAAUCUGGCCUUCUCCAUUGUGAAUGAGAACACUACAGCUGCAAGAAGCCAAGCAGUAAAGAAAACAUUCCCCCAACUCAUGUUGUUCUACCAACAGGGAGGGUAUGCACAACUUGAACUUAAAAUGGUUUGAUGUUUCUUUUCCUAAAAAAGGUCACAGAAUCUGAUAAUUUAAAAAAUGGCUUAUAUAAAACCAGACUUGCAAAACAAAAUUUGAAUGCACCCCAAAUAUAAACCCCAGGUUUAUAAUAGCCAUUAGAAUAAAGAUCUUUCCAGUUGCUGUGCUUUCCUAAUUAAAACAAAUUUCUAUAAACCCAGGUCUAAUUCCUCAGGGCCCCAGCCCCUUCCCUCAUGUCCCCUCUCACUUUUGAUUUGGUUAUUUUUCCAUUGUAAAUCAGAGCAUCGGAGCAGUCGGCUCCUGAGGAACGUGCCCGGGCUCCGGGGCUGCGUCAAGAGCGUUCGCCUUCUGCCAGGGGGGAACCACCCACAGCUGGAAACAUUGCCAAAGUGUCAGGCAGGCUUUGAUUCCUCCAGACCCUGCAGAGUCUGUAAUCCUUGUCUGCUCAAGCAGAUUUCAAUUUGCCUCUAUUUGCUACUGGCUGGGAAAAAAGUUGAUGCAAGGCAGACCAAGGUAUUACAACAGUUUGGGUUGUAUCUCUCUGGUCACUCCCAAAGGACCUGGCCAGCACCAACUGGGGGUUCAGUCGUGGCCUGGGAUUUUACAGAGCCCUCUCUCACUUUUUCAUGGUCCUUCUCUCACUCUCCCUCCUGUCGCAGCACGCUCUAGACUCCUCCUCUGAGAGCUUGUCCAUUAAUACAAAGGAGCUAUUGGACUCUGAGGAGCACAUUUCUUCUGCCCAGAGAACAUCUGCAAUCCUAAGCAAGAUGAAGCAAAGCUGUGCGACAACACUGGGAUUUCAGGACGGGUGUCCAGCUGGAAAACAGAAGGUGAAAUUGUUGUUCUAUAUCAAGUGCACAUUUAUCUUUCUUGUGCACUGACUCAUCCUCAAAGACAAGCCCUGGUGUUACUGUAGUGAGUCAUCAAAGCAACUUUAUUUAUAAUCACUCUGCCUGAUGUUUCAAAAGCACCCAAGACCUAAACAUUAUUAUAGCAAUACUAAAUGAGUUGAUGGUCUCCCAAAGCUCAUGCUUUGAUUUGAAAUUCAAUAGCAUGACAGAGUUUUGAAGGAGAAACAGUCCUGUGAAUAGUGAGCACCGAGGCUCAACCUCCAGAUCAGAUCAUCA